CAGGAACAACACUGCUGUGAAGAGCUGUGUGUGAGAAAACCACCCAGAAGGACAGGAGUAGAGAUAUUGCCGGGAAUGGAUGUAAUGACAAAGAUGACAUAAGUUGCAAGAGGAGUUACCUGACAGCAGUUAUUUUUGCAUGAAGCCCCACCUGAUGUGGCUGAUGGAACAGAGCACCCACAGACAAGUAGUAGCACUGAAUGUGGACUGGACACAUGUUGCCAUGUGAGAAAGGGUGCCGGAGAAGUGUGGUAUCAAGAGAAGAAAACAAACAGUGAGGAAGGAAGAGUAAAGGAAAAAGCUAUACAGGAGUACAAAGCAGAAAUAAAGCACUGAAGAGGAUAUGGUUACACUGAAAAAGAGAAGAGCAAUUUCAUUGACAAAAAAUAGAGUAAGACAGAAAAGAUAUGAUCUCCAGAAACAGAGCAGAGAACAGGUGGAGCUAUCCCUAAGACAGACCAUCAGUAUCUAUCUUAGUCACCAAACUGAACCAGAGUUUAGGAUGUGGUGACUCAAAGUGGUGUAAUCAUCAACUUCCCAAGUUCUGCUUGAAGAACUGGAUCUUAGCUGCUCCUGGGUAUACUAGCUAGGAGAUGCUUUCAAAAAGCUGCUGAACAAACAAAAUCAAUUUACAAAAGCAAUACUAUUUUAGACUUGACUUCAGUAAGUAGGAGGAAAUUAUAAAAGGCCUGAUUAUAAAAUAUAACUUUAGCUAAAAUAUUAAACAUUCAUAUUUUCUGGAAAGACUGCCAAAUAUAGGGCAAUAAACAAAAAUGCAAGUCCUAAAUCAUGAGUUUUGGUUAAAAAAAUAAACAUGAUGAAGCUGACUGAACUGAAAAACUCAGAGACCUGAAUGAGGAUUAAUCUUGUUACUUCUUUAAGCCAAAGACAGGGCUGGCUCUCUCUGUUGGGAGAGACAGAUAUACAUGGAAGCACUCCAGAAUUAAUUGACUGAAUAGCCUCUCAAACAAGUCAGUAGGAAUAGUCCUUUCAGAAUACAAAUACUUAUGAGCAUAUAAAGCUGUGGUCCUUAAAGAGCACAAACAAAUUCUUAGGAACAAAUAAAGCCAAGCUUUGUACAUCAGGACGUGGAAAUGUAAAGUAAGAAUAAGCCAAAACUCAUAAUAGCUUUAGAUGUUGCAAUGAAAAUGAAAAAGAAAACAUUUUUUCAGUAGUAUAAUUAGAAAAAAAAAAAAACAAGGAAAGAUGUGGAGCCAGAAAGAGCAAGGACUAAAAAACUUAAAAAUUCAAUUCAUACAUUGACUUAGUUUGCAACUAGAAAAAUGAAAUAAAGUAUGGAUACGAGCAAGGAAACUAAAGAAAAUUAUAGCCUUUGAGGUGUAAACAAAACUAAUAAUGGAGUUCUGCCUCCUAAAUUCUAGAAGUAGUUACAGUGAAUGACAAUUUUGGUAGCCACAGUUUUGGUAUCAAGUUAAAAAUGUUGCAAUUAUGAGUAGAGAAUAGCAAAUAUGAUUUUUCAGGAAGGAAAAAGUAGUGUGCUGGGACAAAAACCAAAAAACCACCAACAACCAAAACCAAGCAAAAAACAGAACCCAACUGAUUGAAUUCCACUGAGUGUGAGCUGCUAUUUUGAUACACUGUCAGAUGGGAAAUAUAACUCAGCUUAAUAUAACUCAGAAAGGUAGACAAUAGAAAUGGGAUCAAACAUUAAACCAGGCUUUCACAUGAGAAGGUAAAGCAGAUCAUGUUCAAAAGGAAAUUACUGGGCUGAAGUACCUUGUUAGGAUUUAUAAAGAAAUCAGACUUGGUUUCAUCUAAUUAAAUAUUUUCCUCU